AUUUAUAAAAAUAAUAUAACUAGGUUGUUUAAAUGGAAAUUUUAAAUGGAAUUUCAAAGUUGUAAACUGAUUAAAUAUUUACAUAUAUAUACAGUAUGAAUAUACGAUUUUUUAUGAUUUUAUAUUUUUAGAUGUCUUUUCAAAUGUUUGCCAUUCUGAAGUUUUUUUUUGACUGAGCAGUGUCAGACAGUCUUCGGAUCCUAGAGAAUCAGUUCCUCCAAAUGAACAAAUCACCACAGUCAUAAAAAUUAUGGGCAGAGAUAUUUCAUGGAAGAGAGAUAACAUGACAAUACAGAAAUAGGUGUUGCAGUGGAUUCGGAGGUGAAGUCAUGAGGAGUUGUUGUGAUGGCAGAAGAAUGAGUGAUCAUUUAGCAUUUUGCACAAGGGUGUACGAGUGGUCCAGUUAAACAAAGAUUACAAACAAUUAAAACUAUAAUUUGAUAUUACAUCUACUUGUGAUUGAUGAAAGUAAUUCAAAGUAUCAUUUGGACAGAUCUGAUGAGUUAACAAAUAUUUGAAAGUAUACGAGGAACAUUUUACACAUCUUCAAUAUUAGUAUGUUGUAUAGUAAAUAUAAUAAACAAUUAAAGCUGAAAAACUGAA